AGUUUCAGUUUUGCGAGAUGAAGAGAGUUCUGGCGAUGGUCAGUGGUGAUCGUUGUGCAGCAGUGCAAAUGUACUUAAUACCACCCAACUGCACACUGAAAAAUGGUUCCAGUGGAAAAUUUUACAUUAUGUCUUUUUUCACCACAAUUAAAAAAAAAAAAAAAGGAGUUCCCAUUGUGGUUCAGCCGAAAUGAAUCUGACUAGUAUCCAUGAGGAUGUGAGUUUGAUCCCUGGCCUCACUCAAUGGACUAAGGAUCUGGCAUUGCCACAAGCUGCAGCAUAGGCUGCAAAUGUGUCUCAAAUCCCAUGUUUCUGCGGCUGUGGCAUACGUCAGCAGCUGCAGCUCUGAUUCGACCCCUAGCCUGGGAACUUCCAUAUGUGGCAGGUGCAGCCCUAAAAAAAAAUUAAAAAACCAAAACCAAAAACCAUUGUUGUGUUAUUUAAUUACAUCUGGGAGACAAGCCCUGAUGACAACCCAUCUAUGAGAGAAGAAAAAGAGGCUCCAAGAUGCUAAGGCACUUGCUCAGCAUCACAUAGCUGGGAAGAGCAGAGUUGGGGCAUUUAAACCUAAAUUCUCUCCAAGAAAAUAUACAUCUUGCUCCUAGAUUUGCUGCCACAGGGAGGCCUGGUAACUAUUUUACCAUUGCUGGGGCAGCAACUUGUCAGUCAGUGAAUGCCUCGGGGAGGCAAUUGGAUUUUGUGGUCUGAGAUCAAACUGGGGAGAGGAAGAGCUGGGGCUCCAGGGUCCUUGACUGGGGACAGCUGAAAUCAGAGCAGCACGUCUGUAGCGAGCUAGUUCUUUUGAAAACAUCCCAGGUGGGCCUUGACUGCACAGCUGGGAUAAUUGGCCAGCCUGGGAACACCAAGAAAGAUAUUUACAGGUCCAGAUGCUGCAGUCGAAUAUUUUCCUGCACCAGCUGGGCCAAAUACCCUCAGCUCUUAAAAAUCCCCAACACACUGGGACUUAUUUUUGUUUAACUUGCAGGUGGGCAGAGGUGGUGAGUGGCAGUGUCAUGGUGGCUCCAGGAAAGGGGAUCAGGGCUGACUGGGGGUGUCCCCUUUCCCUCAUUUGUCUUCCAGGGUGUGCUCUUACUUUCCCUUGCUGGGAAGGUGACAAUUUAAUUCAGAAAAGGAGGCUCACUCGGCUUAAUGAGAAGUGACCAGGGAGCAUGCUGGAUUAGCCAAAGGAGGUUGUAAAGUGCUGUGUAAAUAUCAACUGCUGGACCACUGGGGGCAGGAAGGGCGUUUGAGCCCGUCUAGAAGCAGCAGCAGCUCCCGGAGGUGAGGGUGAGAAAGCAGCUUUGCAGCCCUCUGAAAUUUGGGACCUUCCAGCGGCUGUCUGAGAUGGACAAGUUGGUUCUGAAAAGAGUUUCCAGGACUUUCUGAGCCUGGCAGGAGCUUCUCUUGCUGGUUAUAAUUCUGACCUGUGGGUUCUAACCCCACCCCAAUACCAGUUGGAUGUCCUGGAGUUCAGCUUAAUUCUGACAUUAUCUGCUUGAGAAUCACAUCAGAUCCCACAGGUGAAGGAUUCAGUCUCAUAAGAUUGCCCCACCCCCACUGCAGACGCCGAUUAAGUCCAGGUUGUCACCUAUUUGGGACCUACUGGCUAUAGGAGGGAGGAGCUGACAGCCCACUCCUCAACUGACUUGCUAGAGCAAAAAACUCAGAAAAACAUUUCACUUACUAGAGCACCAGUUUAUUUUAAACUGAUGUAACUCAGGUACAUUCAGAUGGAAGAGAUGCCCAAGGCAAGGAGUGUGGGAAGGAGUGCAGAGCUUCCACAUACUCUCUGAGCAUCGCUCUCCAGGCACCGCUGCGUGUUCACUAGCCCAGAAGCCGUCAAGACCUGUCCUUUGGAUUUUUAUGGAGGCUUCAUUACUGGGGCACGAUUGAUGAAAUCCUUGGCCAGUGGUGAACAAACACAAUCCGCAGCCCCUCUUCCCUCCCUGGAGGUUGAGGUGGGGUAAACUGAAAGUUCCAGCCCUCUAAUCACCUGGUUGGUUCCCCUGACCACCAGCCACCUUAGGUUAAGUAGGAGUUCUCCAAAAGUCACCUCAUCGACCAAAUGAGACACCUUUCUCAUUCUCAUCUCUUAGGAAAUUCCAUGGGUUUUAGGAUCUCUGUGCCAGGAAUGGGGAAAGACCAAAUACAUAUUUCUUAUUAUAAAUCACAGUAUCACACUGGUGUACAGGGGUGGGAGCCCUGAUCAAGGAAGAAAAAAAGAAUGUUUGAUUUAUGGAAACCUUGUGAGAGUUUCCUGACCCAGCAGAGUCCAGGCUCCUGCUGAGGGUUUCAACACACAGGAGGCUGAGAGCUUUGGAGCAUGUCCACCUUUGGACCCUGCUUCUGUCCCUAGAUAGCUAAUUGAACUUGGGUUUGCCGCUUGACCUCUCUGGGCCUCAUGGUCCUCAUGUGUGAAAGGGGUUAAUAGUACCAAUCUAAUGCAUUUCUUGGGGGAACUAGAGAGGAUUAGGCCCAUCCCUGGCAUGCAAUCAACACCCAGUAUCUGGGGUUUGUAACGUCAUUAAUGUCAUCUCUGAGGUCCUUAUCCUAAUGUUUAUGAGGAAUAACCAACCACCGAUGGAUCUAGAAAGAAGCACAGAAGGUGGGUUGUUUUCAGUAUUGGCCAUUUCUCUUUUGUGCCACAGCAGGGGCCGACAACGUUCUCUGUAAAGGGCCAUGUAGUAAAUAUUUUGGGCUUUACAGGCCAGGUGGUCUCUAUGGCAACUACUCAGCUCAGAAGCAUCCAUGAGCAUUACAUAAGCAAAGGGGCCUGGCUUUGUGCCAAUAAAACUUUCUUUACAAAAAUAGGCAGCAGGGGAGUUCUGACUCCCCAAAUCGGACUAGUGCCCAUGAAGUUGUGGGUUUGAUCCCUGGCCUCACUCAGCAGGUUAAGGAUCCGGCGUUGCAGUGAGCUGCAGUGUAGGUCGAAGAUGCAGCUCAGAUCCUAUGUUACUGUGGCUGUGGUAUGGGCCGGCAACUGUAGCUCUGAUUCAGUCCCUAGCCUGGGAACCUCCAUGUGCUGCAGGUGUGGCCCU
rnacentral:lncRNA from 1 species